rnacentral:rRNA from 1 species
ACGGGAGGCAGCAGUCGGGAAUAUUGCGCAAUGGAGGAAACUCUGACGCAGUGACGCCGCGUAUAGGAAGAAGGUUUUCGGAUUGUAAACUAUUGUCGUGAGGGAAGAAAUUUGACAGUACCUCAGGAGGAAGCUCCGGCUAACUAUGUGCCAGCAGCCGCGGUAAUACAUAGGGAGCAAGCGUUAUCCGGAUUUAUUGGGUGUAAAGGGUGCGUAGACGGAGAAGCAAGUUAGUUGUGAAAUCCCUCGGCUUAACUGAGGAACUGCAACUAAAACUACUUCCCUUGAGUGUCGGAGAGGAAAGUGGAAUUCCUAGUGUAGCGGUGAAAUGCGUAGAUAUUAGGAGGAACACCAGUGGCGAAGGCGACUUUCUGGACGAUUACUGACGUUGAGGCACGAAAGUGUGGGGAGCAAACAGGAUUAGAUACCCUGGUA